rnacentral:rRNA from 1 species
AUUGAACGCUGGCGGCAUGCCUUACACAUGCAAGUCGAACGGCAGCGCGGGGCAACCUGGCGGCGAGUGGCGAACGGGUGAGUAAUAUAUCGGAACGUACCCUGGAGUGGGGGAUAACGUAGCGAAAGUUACGCUAAUACCGCAUACGAUCUAAGGAUGAAAGUGGGGGAUUCGCAAGAACCUCAUGCUCCUGGAGCGGCCGAUAUCUGAUUAGCUAGUUGGUAGGGUAAAAGCCUACCAAGGCAUCGAUCAGUAGCUGGUCUGAGAGGACGACCAGCCACACUGGAACUGAGACACGGUCCAGACUCCUACGGGAGGCAGCAGUGGGGAAUUUUGGACAAUGGGCGCAAGCCUGAUCCAGCAAUGCCGCGUGAGUGAAGAAGGCCUUCGGGUUGUAAAGCUCUUUUGUCAGGGAAGAAACGGGCCUUUCUAAUACAGAGGCCUAAUGACGGUACCUGAAGAAUAAGCACCGGCUAACUACGUGCCAGCAGCCGCGGUAAUACGUAGGGUGCAAGCGUUAAUCGGAAUUACUGGGCGUAAAGCGUGCGCAGGCGGUUUUGUAAGACUGCCGUGAAAUCCCCGGGCUCAACCUGGGAAUGGCGAUGGUGACUGCAAGGCUAGAGUUUGGCAGAGGGGGGUAGAAUUCCACGUGUAGCAGUGAAAUGCGUAGAUAUGUGGAGGAACACCGAUGGCGAAGGCAGCCCCCUGGGUCAAAACUGACGCUCAUGCACGAAAGCGUGGGGAGCAAACAGGAUUAGAUACCCUGGUAGUCCACGCCCUAAACGAUGUCUACUAGUUGUCGGGUUUUAAUUAACUUGGUAACGCAGCUAACGCGUGAAGUAGACCGCCUGGGGAGUACGGUCGCAAGAUUAAAACUCAAAGGAAUUGACGGGGACCCGCACAAGCGGUGGAUGAUGUGGAUUAAUUCGAUGCAACGCGAAAAACCUUACCUACCCUUGACAUGGCAGAGAUCCCGGAGAGAUUCGGGAGUGCUCGAAAGAGGAUCUGCACACAGGUGCUGCAUGGCUGUCGUCAGCUCGUGUCGUGAGAUGUUGGGUUAAGUCCCGCAACGAGCGCAACCCUUGUCAUUAGUUGCUACGAAAGAGCACUCUAAUGAGACUGCCGGUGACAAACCGGAGGAAGGUGGGGAUGACGUCAAGUCCUCAUGGCCCUUAUGGGUAGGGCUUCACACGUCAUACAAUGGUACAUACAGAGGGCCGCCAACCCGCGAGGGGGAGCUAAUCCCAGAAAGUGUAUCGUAGUCCGGAUUGUAGUCUGCAACUCGACUGCAUGAAGUUGGAAUCGCUAGUAAUCGCGGAUCAGCAUGUCGCGGUGAAUACGUUCCCGGGUCU